rfam:Tetraodon nigroviridis chromosome 15 SCAF14542, whole genome shotgun sequence.
GCCAGUGUCAUUUUUUGUGAUGUUGCAGCUAGUAAUAUAAGCCAAGUUGCAUAGUCACAAAAGUGAUCAUUGGA